UUAUUUAUUUGCAUGAUUCCAGCUUGUGUUCUCAUCUUCGUCCACCGUAUACGGUUGGCCAAAGGAGGUUCCAUGUACAGAAGAGUUCCCUCUAUCAGCAAUGAAUCCAUAUGGUCAAACUAAGGUAUGACUUGCAGAGUAAACGAUUUUGAUAUGGAUCCCUUGGAUUUGAUAUUCGUUUGUGAAUCUCACUACUCAAGAUUUGAUCAAAUCUAGAUUUCAAUUCUACUCUGCCAUAUGGAAUUUAAGUAGCUGUGGCAUUCAAUACUUGAUUUCUAUAUGUGAUAGUCAUUUAGAUUUUAGAUUAAGACUAGAGGUUUUUCGCUUGCUAGUUGACAGUAUGAUUAGUAACUAAUAGCUUAAUUUAAGAAAAUUGCUGCAUGUAUUUAUUUGUUUAUUUUCAAAAUCUAACUUGAAAGUUUUUUACUAUAACUGUUUUGAGUUCAAAAUGUCUUAAGAUUGAGGGUUCAUUUUUCUGAUGCGUGAUUUGCAGGAGUCAAGCAAGUACCAGUACCAUGAGCAACUUUGGGAUUCUCCUAUCAGCCAUGCCUUACCCAGCUGUCUCAAGCCAAGACAUUGUCUCUCCUAGCAGUGCAGAAAUCAUCAGACAUAUCUCCUCUAUUUUUUACUGGUGUGUUGGAGAGUUUUCUUCGUUUCAGGCUGUGGUAGCUGCCUUGUUUAUGAAUAUUUAUAUUGUUGGAUUGAAUCAAUUUCAGAUAUUGAAAUAGACAAGAUAAACAAGCCAUAUCUUCCAUUGGCAUCCGGUGAAUAUUCCGUUGGAACUGGUGUCACAAUUGUUGCAUCAUUUUCAUUUCUGAUUUUUUGGCUUGGUUGGAUUGUAGGUUCAUAGCCAUUGUUUUGGGCUCUUUUCAUCAGUUUUGUGCUUGGGACUGCUUAUUCAAUUGAUGUGAGAGUUUCUUUUUCUUUUCUUUUUUUUUAAGACCUCAAUUUCCCCACAAUAUAUUAUUUUGAAUGGUCAUCAUACGAUGUCUUCAUUUUAAGAGUCUACAUGUUCAGCAUAUUACUUGCAUUAUCAAAUUUUGAAGCCAUAAAUGUCAAACAAUAUCCACUUGUCUUGAUUUUUCUUUAAUAAGAAAAGAAUGUGUUAGUUGCUCAUGAGUA